rnacentral:rRNA from 1 species
UACGGAAGGCAGCAGUGGGGAAUAUUGCACAAUGGGCGCAAGCCUGAUGCAGCCAUGCCGCGUGUAUGAAAAAGGCCUUCGGGUUGUAAAGUACUUUCAGUCGUGAGGAAGGUGUUAAGGUUAAUAACCUUAGCAAUUGACGUUAGCGACAGAAGAAGCACCGGCUAACUCCGUGCCAGCAGCCGCGGUAAUACGGAGGGUGCGAGCGUUAAUCGGAAUUACUGGGCGUAAAGGGCACGCAGGCGGUUAAUUAAGUUGGAUGUGAAAUCCCCGGGCUUAACCUGGGAAUGGCAUUCAAGCUGGUUAGCUAGAGUCUUGUAGAGGGGGUAGAAUUCCAUGUGUAGCGGUGAAAUGCGUAGAGAUGUGGAGGAAUACCGGUGGCGAAGGCGGCCCCUGGACAAAGGCUGACGCUCAUGUGCGAAAGCGUGGGGAGCGAAACAGGGAUUAGAUA